AAGAUAAGACCUUAGAAUAAGGCCUCAGAAUGAAACCUACCUUGCCAGUACCUUGAUCUUAGAUUUCCCAGCCUCUAGAACUGUGAGAAAUAAAUUUCUGUUGUUUAAGCCAACAAUCUUUGGUAUUUCAUUAUGCCAGCCCAAGCUGACUAACGCACAGGGGAAACUAAAAGCAAUUCUAAUGGUAUGCUCCAAUUAGAACUUGAUCCAAACCACUGGCUAAUCAGGCCCAUAACUUCCAGAUUUAUACCCCUUAUUGUUUUAAGUGAAUUUGCCAUCAACACAUAUAAAUUCACAAUAGGGUAGGAAAUAAAAGCAAAAGAAAAUAUACUACAAUAAAAAUUCAUCCUAAGGCAGGUUCCUCUUUUAAAAAAAAAUUAAAAUUCAGUAUUUCGGAUUGCAGAAAAAUCAACCUGACAAUUUAGGAUCAAUCUCCCAUCUUGUGGGUAUCUACUGCUCUGCUUCCUUCCACUGCAUUCAUGUAACUAUUUUGUCAUUUACUGAUAAUCAGAGCUGAGUGCCAACAGGAAGUGAUGAAAUUCAAACUGAUUAAUUCUGAUCCUUCUAAGCAACUUCAGUGUCAUUACAAUGUCUUGUUAUGAUCAUAACAAGAUCAUAAUUUUCAAGAUUACCCCAACUUUAAAAACCAACAAAAAAUAGUAAAGGAAAUCAUGCUUCCUAAAUACUAGAAAGCUGAGGCAGACACCUGAACAGUGAGAUCUGCUUUCUUCCCCUAGACAAAAAUGAAGACCUACUGACAUACAUUUGGCAGGUCAGGUGUUUUAAACAUUUCUCAGUCUGGAAUGGCGUUGUGAGUCUACAUGAAAGGAUAGCAAGGCCAGGCACAGUGGUUCAUGCCUAUAAUCCUAGCACUUUGGGAUUACAGGCAGGAGUUCAAGAACAGCCUAGGAAACAUAGAAG